rnacentral:rRNA from 1 species
GAUGUCCUUGCAGCUCCCUAAAUUCAGUGGCGGAGUAGGUCUUCACCCCAGACGUAGUAGCUAUUACAUCGCCUGUGGUAUAGGCCCUCUCUUGCCGUAAAAAUGCCCUAAAAAGCACUAUAGGUUGACCUCGGAUCAGGUAGGAAUACCCGCUGAACUUAAGCAUAUCAAUAAGCGGAGGAAAAGAAACCAACAGGGAUUGCCCUAGUAACGGCGAGUGAAGCGGCAACAGCUCAAAUUUGAAAUCUGGCCUUCGGGUCCGAGUUGUAAUUUGUAGAGGAUGCUUUUGGUGAGGUGCCUUCCGAGUUCCCUGGAACGGGACGCCUUAGAGGGUGAGAGCCCCGUACGGUUGGACACCGAACCUCUGUAAAGCUCCUUCGACGAGUCGAGUAGUUUGGGAAUGCUGCUCUAAAUGGGAGGUAAAUUUCUUCUAAAGCUAAAUAUUGGCCAGAGACCGAUAGCGCACAAGUAGAGUGAUCGAAAGAUGAAAAGCACUUUGAAAAGAGGGUUAAACAGCACGUGAAAUUGUUGAAAGGGAAGCGUUUGCGACCAGACUUUUUCCUAGCGGAUCAUCCGGUGGUUUCCACCGGUGCACUUCGC